GGCGGAGGGAAGCUCAUCGGUGGGGCCACGAGCUGAGUGCGUUUACGUCACUCUACCCCCCUGUCCCUUGGGAAGGUCUGAGACUAGGGCCAUAAAGCGGCCCUAACAGGGCCCUCCCUGACCUUCAGGGAGGUGGGUUCCCAGAGAACGGGGCUCCGCGCGAGGGCAGACUGGGCAGGAGAUGCUGUGGACCCCGCCCUUGGGGAGGGGCCCGGCGGAUGCCUCCUUAGCCGGAGCUUGGAACAGACUCACGGCCAGCGAAGUGAGUUCAAUGGCUGAGGUGAGGUACCCGCCUACUGGGGCCUCAUAACCUAAUUCAGACUACUCUCCCCCGUC
rfam:Equus caballus chromosome 1, whole genome shotgun sequence.